AUCCCGACAACCUAGAUCCGUCCCAGUGUCAGGGCCUCCCCACUGCUGCUCGUCCACGCAGGUCAGCUGGGGGCCCAGACCCAGGCCCAGGGGACAGCCCCAUGGCUCUGGCAGAAGAAAGGGGACUCUGGACACCCUCGCACCAGCCGUGAAACGCUCUGCCCAGGAGGGAAGCCGUCAGCUCUGCUCACAGCUAGCUCACUGGCCUGACUGUCACCUGCUCUGCUCAGCAAGGGGACCUGGAAGUGCCCAGAAGACUGAGAGCCUGAACUGGGAAGGGACAGCCCCAGUGACCAGCACACUGCUCGUCAGCUGUGUGACCACAGGCCAGAUGCUGUCUGGGCCUGCGUUUCCUCCUCUAGGCAAUGGAGAGAAGACGGUCUUCUGCCUCCAGAGCUGCCAUGAGGACCAGAGAAAUCGCAACCAUUUGGAAGUUUAAAUAUAGCCUCCCAGAAACCCAGUGAGCUCAGCUCCUGGUGGUGCUGGCCCCGGCCCCAUCCCUGCACCUCACGAAGCGUUAGCGACACGACGGCUUGAGAACAUUCUCCAGUGUCACUGAUCCUGCUGUCUUUGCCGGCGAGUCUCCCCUCUACUCACAUAGAAGAAACUGGUUACACGAAGGGCAGUAACUCCACUUGCCAGUUCUGAGUCAGAUGGGGAAGAGCAAAGUCUCCAGCCUGGGGUUAACCCAAGACAGGCUGUACCCAUUUCCUGCGGUUACUCUGGGGGCAGCGUGCUAGGACAGAAGCCAAGCUGCAAGUGAGUCCAGGGGGCAGCCUCCUCAUCCUUCUUCCUUCCCUCCACCCCAAUCCUUAGCAUUACUGUGUGUCAGAAAGGCAGGGACCCCGCUGUCAGGGGCUCCAGACCCCCCAGCAGGUAAGAAAAAGGACAACUUGGAAAUCUCUUAAAAAAAAAAAAAAAGACUAAUCUGGUAUGUUUUUCUUCAAACACCUACAUAUCACAACUCUGGUUAAUACACUCUUCAAAAUCUAGUUCCAUUUUACAUCCUUUCCUAACUGUACAAACCGGAACCUCAAUUCCUAUUUCCAUUUCUACCCGGGGGGAUGGGCGAGGGAAGAAGAG
ensembl:lncRNA